rnacentral:tRNA from 1 species
AGGCUAAUGGCUCAAUGGUAGAGUAGCGGUCUCCAAAACCUCCGGUUGGGGGUUCGAGUCCCUCUUAGCCUG